GGCGGACGGGUGAGUAAUACUUAGGAGUCUGCCCAUUAGUGGGGGACAACUCGAGGAAACUCGAGCUAAUACCGCAUACGCCCUACGGGGGAAAGCGGAGGACCUUUCGGGGCUUCGCGCUAAUGGAUGAGCCUAAGUCGGAUUAGCUUGUUGGUGAGGUAAAGGCUCACCAAGGCGACGAUCCGUAGCUGGUCUGAGAGGACGAUCAGCCACACUGGGACUGAGACACGGCCCAG
rnacentral:rRNA from 1 species